GAAAGCCAGCGCAAACAAACUAGCAAGCUACGGAGUUUGCCGCCAAUGUAUUUCUUGUAAAGUGUAUAAAAACGAAUAUGGAAGCUGGACAAAUAAGAUGCCAAAAACCAACGACUUUCAUGAUGUAUUAGACAGGAAGGAGGAACUGGUUUUCUCCUCCAUUUGAAAACCGGGACUUACCAGCACUAUACUGUCUGUUUCCAAUCAAAGCAAGUCAUCAGAAUCAGAAACGAGGCAGCCAGUCAGGGAAGGAGAAAAACUAUCUAUGGCAACGCUGCUGUCACUUUCACUCAUUGAGACAUGUUUCUCUGGGUGCAUCAAGCUUCGUUAAUGACCCGCCUCCUUGGUCCAUGUACCCCACCGUGAUUGGUUGGAAGGAAAACAAAUAAUGCUGAGAACAGUGGAAGAAGUCUCAUCACUGUGCCGACCCUGGACAGUUACACUUGCUUGCUAGCAUUGUAUUAUAGUCAACGAUCAAUCAAUCAAUCAAUGUUUACGUAUAUCUCCCUAAAUCACUAGUGUCUCAAAGGGCUGCACAAACCACAACACAAACCACUAUGACAUCCUCGGUAGGCCCACAUAAAGGCAAGGAAAACUCACACCCAGUGGGACGUCGGUGACAAUGAUGACUAUGAGAACCAUGGAGAGGACCACAUGGGCAACCCCCCCCCCCCCCCACAUAUGUGGGCAACCCCCCGCCCACACACACACACACACACACUAGGGGACCAAAAGCAAUGGAUGUCGAGCGGGUCCAACAUGAUACUGUGAAAGUUCAAUCCAUACUGGAUCCAACACAGCCGCGAGAGUCCAGUCCAAAGCGGAUCCAACACAGCAGCGAGAGUCCCGUCCACAGAAGAUGGACAUAACUUUUCUUUUCCAACUAUGGGAAUGAAGAAAAUGGUGUGAAAGACACUACUGAUGAUAUUUAUUGACCAAGAAUGUCGAAAUAAUAUCUAAAUGGCAGAUGUUCAUCCAUGAAAAUAUGUAGAAGCUGACAUGUAUCCAUGAAAAUAUAAAGAAGCAGCUGAUGGUUUGACAGAGAAGCAGCUCAAAAGAGGGAGUCCACUCUCCAAGAAAAAUACAGUACAUUGUUAUAAGAUUACUUCAUAGAACUACUGUAUUUCUUAGUUGUAUUGUAUUAUUUUUCAUAUAGUAUUUGUCAUCUAGAAGUAUUUGUAAUUGUGAUUUCAAUAGGCGACGUUGAUUUGAAAUACAAGUGUAUUAUGUAAAGAGCUCUGUUGCAGAACCAAUAAAGCAUGUAAGUUGAGCUACUAUUGCAUCAGUAAUUGGUAAAAUGCGGCAAAAGUAGUUGGGUUGAAAUAAUCUCUGUUUCUUCCUGCUCCUUUUUCGGAUAUGUUAAUGUGAUCGUGUAAUGUCCGAAGCAUACACUGUAAAACUGCCAAUGACCAUGACUGUGAUCCGUGUGUGCAAAUGUAAAUGUGUUACAUAUCCAUGACAUUAAACCCACGCUAAGUAUUG